AUUGAACGCUGGCGGCAUGCCUUACACAUGCAAGUCGAACGGCAGCACGGGUGCUUGCCCCUGGUGGCGAGUGGCGAACGGGUGAGUAAUACAUCGGAACAUGUCCUGUAGUGGGGGAUAGCCCGGCGAAAGCCGGAUUAAUACCGCAUACGAUCUACGGAUGAAAGCGGGGGACCUUCGGGCCUCGCGCUAUCGGGUUGGCCGAUGGCUGAUUAGCUAGUUGGUGGGGUAAAGGCCUACCAAGGCGACGAUCAGUAGCUGGUCUGAGAGGACGACCAGCCACACUGGGACUGAGACACGGCCCAGACUCCUACGGGAGGCAGAAGUGGGGAAUUUUGGACAAUGGGCGAAAGCCUGAUCCAGCAAUGCCGCGUGUGUGAAGAAGGCCUUCGGGUUGUAAAGCACUUUUGUCCGGAAAGAAAUCCUUGGCCCUAAUACGGUCGGGGGAUGACGGUACCGGAAGAAUAAGCACCGGCUAACUACGU
rnacentral:rRNA from 1 species